GACGAACGCUGGCGGCGUGCUUAGCACAUGCAAGUCGUACGGUAAGGCCCUUUCGGGGGUACACGAGUGGCGAACGGGUGAGUAACACGUGAGUAACCUGCCCACAACUUUGGGAUAACGCUAGGAAACUGGUGCUAAUACUGGAUAUGUGCCCCUGCUGCAUGGUGGGGGUUGGAAAGCUCCGGCGGUUGUGGAUGGACUCGCGGCCUAUCAGCUUGUUGGUGGGGUAGUGGCCUACCAAGGCGGCGACGGGUAGCCGGCCUGAGAGGGUGACCGGCCACAAUGGGACUGAGAUACGGCCCAGACUCCUACGGGAGGCAGCAGUGGGGAAUAUUGCACAAUGGGCGCAAGCCCGAUGCAGCAACGCCGCGUGCGGGAUGACGGCCUUCGGGUUGUAAACCGCUUUCAGCAGGGACGAAGCUUUUUGUGACGGUACCUGCAGAAGAAGCACCGGCUAACUACGUG
rnacentral:rRNA from 1 species